GACGUAGGGCGCGAGCGUUGUCCGGAUUUAUUGGGCGUAAAGAGCUCGUAGGCGGCUUGUCGCGUCGACCGUGAAAACUUGGGGCUCAACCCCAAGCCUGCGGUCGAUACGGGCAGACUAGAGUGAUGUAGGGGAGACUGGAAUUCCUGGUGUAGCGGUGAAAUGCGCAGAUAUCAGGAGGAACACCGAUGGCGAAGGCGGGUCUCUGGGCAGUAACUGACGCUGAGGAGCGAAAGCGUGGGAGCGAACAGG
rnacentral:rRNA from 1 species